rnacentral:rRNA from 1 species
CAGCUUGUUGGUAGGGUAAUGGCCUACCAAGGCAAUGAUCGGUAGCCGGCCUGAGAGGGCACACGGCCACACUGGCACUGAAACACGGGCCAGACUCCUACGGGAGGCAGCAGUGGGGAAUCUUGCACAAUGGGGGCAACCCUGAUGCAGCGACGCCGCGUGAGCGAUGAAGCCCUUCGGGGUGUAAAGCUCUUUCGGCAGGAACGAUAAUGACGGUACCUGCAGAAGAAGCUGCGGCUAACUACGUGCCAGCAGCCGCGGUAAUACGUAGGCAGCAAGCGUUGUUCGGAGUUACUGGGCGUAAAGAGUGUGUAGGCGGUUCUCUAAGUUCCGUGUGAAAUCUCCCGGCUCAACUGGGAGGGUGCGCGGAAAACUGAA